rnacentral:rRNA from 1 species
CCUACGGGAGGCAGCAGUGGGGAAUAUUGCACAAUGGGGGAAACCCUGAUGCAGCGACUCCUCGUGAGUGAGGAAGUAUUUCGGUAUGUAAAGCUCUCUCCGCAGGGACGAAAAUGACGUUACCUGACUCAAAAGCCCCGGCUAACUACGUGCCAGCCGCCGCGGUAAUACGUAGGGGGCAAGCGUUAUCCGGAUUUCCUGGGUGUAAAGGGAGCGUAGACGGUUAAUCAAGUCAGAAGUGAAACGCCAGGGCUCAACCUUGGGAAUGCUUUUGAACCUGAGUAGCUAGAGUGCAGGAGAGGUAAGCGGAAUUCUUAGUGUAGCGGUGAAAUGCGGAGAUAUUAGGAGGAACACCAGUGGCGAAGGCGGCUUACUGGACUGUAACGGACGUUGAGGCUCGAAAGCGUGGGGAGCAAACAGGAUUAGAUACCCGGGUAGUC